AGUGAAGCGGCAACAGCUCAAAUUUGAAAUCUGGCCUCCCGGGGUCCGAGUUGUAAUUUGUAGAGGAUGUUUUGGGUACCGCCCCGGUUUAAAUUUCUUGGAACAGAAUGUCAGAGAGGGUGAGAAUCCCGUCUUGGACCGGUGGUAGGGCCUGUGUAAAACUCCUUCGACGAGUCGAGUUGUUUGGGAAUGCAGCUCAAAAUGGGUGGUAAAUUUCAUCUAAAGCUAAAUAUUGGCCAGAGACCGAUAGCGCACAAGUAGAGUGAUCGAAAGAUGAAAAGAACUUUGAAAAGAGAGUUAAACAGUAUGUGAAAUUGUUGAAAGGGAAACGCUUGGAACCAGACUUGAACGCGACGGUUCCCCUAACCUUUUGGCUAGGUUACUCCGUCCUGGCCAGGGCAACAUCGGUUCUGAAGGUCGGUCAAAGGGUCUGGGAAUGGAUCUACCCCCGGGUAAACUUAUAAACCAGGGUGGCAUGCGACCUCUCGGGACCGAAGAACGCGCUUCCGCUCGGAUGUUGGCGUAAUGGUUGUCAGCGACCCGUCUUGAACCCCCGGACCAAGAA
rnacentral:rRNA from 1 species